UUUUAAAACUUUAUAUUCUAAUAAUUUAAUAAUUCUAAAUAAUUUAGAAUAAUUUCUAAAUAUUUGCAAUGAGUUGAAUGUCUCAAAGCUCCCUUUAGAAACUGUGCCUACAAAAUAGCAAAAAGUAAUCAAAAUAGAGCUUUCCACAAAACACACACGUUAUUAUCUAACAGAAAGUGCAUAAAAACAAUGUGGCUAUCUCUACUUCCAUAAAUAAGUUGAAAAAAGCACAUACAAUUUUAAUACAUUUUGUUCUCUUGAUAAAUUAAUUCAUUAAUUUUUCAUGAUACAAAUUUGACCUUUUGUUUCUGUCAACUUAUUUUUAAUUAAUGUAAUCACUCACCUGAAAUGACCUUAUUAUUUGGUUUGUUUGGAUGUGUUAAUAAUGUAAAUAAUGCAUAUAGGAAGCAGAUUUAAAAGUAGUUGUUGAAAUGAAUGUAUCUCUUUCUCAUUCAGAAAUAUUAAUGUUUAGCAUCUUAGAAUGACCCUAGGAAUUCUUUAAGUAAUUACCUAAUUGCUUAAUUGUUCAUUAGAUACCCUAAUGCUAAAGAAAGCUAUUGACCAUUUUCUUACAAAUGGUUGUGCCUGGCACAGAGUAGUAUUUAAUUAUUUCUCUAUGGAUUAAAAUGUUGGCUUUAGAAUAUUGCAGUUAAUCAACUUCUGACUAUACGUGUCUAAAUUAGGAUUGAGGAUCAUCUCCAAAUAACCACUUUUCACUAUACAGGUAGUCAAUUAUCUCUACUCCAUUACUCAUCAGGGGCUGACUUUCCUUCACUGACUGUGUCUCAGACAAAACCACAGCUACUAUCAGAUUAAACUUUGCCUUUCUGUGCUGAUGUAUUAUUAUAACAAUAUGAAUAUUCAAGAGUUGACUGGCAGCAUAAAGUGAACUCAACAAUGUAUUCAAGAAUAUCAAGGGAUGUGUUGAAUCCGUUAGGAAAAGUCUAACCUUAUCUAUUGAAGUACAUUCCUGCACUUCCUUUUCAGCAUUCAGUUAUGUCUUCAUGAUAAAUUACAUCAAAGAUGUUUUCUUUUAGCAAUUUUCUUUUUCUGAUAGUCAUAGAUCUAUUCAUUUUGUAAAAUUGAUGUCACCU
rnacentral:lncRNA from 10 species